CUUCCACCAUCUCUGGCACCGUGCUCAACGCCGCCUACAAGGGACGUCGUCGCAUAUGCAGCCCUUCCCUUGAAGAGUGGAAGAACGUCUUCGGGACGGAGGACCCUCACUGCCGCUUCUUUUCAGUCUACCGACGGUCUGAUUUUGUUGACAGAGUCAGAGCAGCAGUCGAAAGGAAGGUAGAAGACCAGCUGCUGCAGGAACAACUAAUUAGAAAUUGUCACCACCAACGCGAAUGAAGUGUGUCGGAGAAUUAUCCUAGCUCUUCCUGCAUCUCCACCUCCAACACUCGACCAACUGAUAGAGCAGUGCACCCGGAAGGCCGUGGUUGUUAUAGAAGACAUCAUUAGAGUGAAUCCGACAAAUGACCAACUGGCAGCAGCAGCCUUCGUGACACCCCAGAGACCUACCUUCCCUGUGGGAACCCCUUUACCACCUGGUCACUGAUGUUUUCACUGUGAUGUGAUGAUCAUUUCCUCAACCAAUGUCCCUUUUUAGGCAAAGCCCCUCCGGGCGGAGGGGAAAAAGAAAAGGGGGAGAGUGCCUCCUGUCCAUCGCCACAAAAAAACUAAGUAAUGAACGCGGAUCUGCCCCGCGCUGCGAUAUAAGUAGGGCAAGCCACGGGGACUUGAUUGACAGAAAACACAGCAGUCAAAUCACCACCAAUGACUGUCGUGCACCACACCGGCUAAGACUAACACACCCCAUUUUCUUCCAUUCACAGGACUGGCACAUAAUCCACCCUGAGCCUGGACUUCUCUCCUGCAUCCAACUGGCGGAGACCCAUUGGCACAUGUCAUCUUUAGACUGCAAGUACCUCAUUGUCGUGGACACCAAAAGCACUCCCCUUGAGAUUGAAGUAAUUCCCGCAAUUUUAACACUCAAGCCGGAAUACUUUACUCUCUGGGUACGCUGUGUUCACCCCCCCUCUUCCUUCCGGGAGAUCAGAUUGUUGCACAGGCAAUUCCAAUCCUUCAUUUCAUGUGCGGUGAUCUGGAUCUCUCUGUUCUUUGCACCGAAGUGUUGGGAGAGGAAAAGCCCCUCGUGUGGUGUGGCCUCAAGAGUGAGGGGCAUUCCAUACAACUUCAGGGUAUGAUGGACACAGGGGCAGAUGUGAUGGUCAUUCCCCCACACAAAUGGCCACCACAAUGGGAGUUGCAGAAUGUGCACAGCUCAGUUUUAGCUGUUGGGGGUUCUGAAUUGGCUAGACAAUCCAAGACCAUAGUUCAAAUUAUGGGGCCAAAUGGGCAAUUAGCUUCAGUACACCCAUUUGUUUUAAACUCUUAAGUUUACCCCGUGGGGGAGAGACGCCAUGUCCCAGUGGGGGGAAAAAGUAGACCUUCUUGCCCCUCAAAAUUUUUAGGUGCAGCCACUGAAGAGCGCUCUACUCUCAGACUCAAUUGACAGAUACACCAGUCUGGGUAGAGCAGUGGCCGCUGAAUAAACAAAAAUUACGAGCGCUCACUCAGAUCAUGGAGGAAGAAUUGGCCAAAGGCCACAUAGUGGAAACCAACAGCCCCUGGAGCUCCCCAGUUUUUGUCAUUAGAAAACGGGGGAAACAGGUGGCGUCUCCUUCACGACCUGAGAAAAAUAAACAAUGUUAUUGAAGACAGGGGGUUCCUCCAACCAGGCAUGCCUUCCCCAUCUAUGUUCCCCCAAAACUGGAAAAUGGCAGUAAUAGAUAUUAAAGAUUGCUUUUUUCAAAUUCCCCUUCACCCAGCUGAGGCGUCACGGUUUGUCUUCUCUGUACCUUCCAUCAACAGAGGAGCUCCCAUGGAGCGCUACCACUGGCGUGUUCUCCCACAAGGGAUGAAGAACAGCCCUACCAUCUGCCAGUGGUAUGUCGUGAAUGUUCUGUCCCCAGUGCGUGCAAGGGAGAGUGAUGGCAUUAUCUACCAUUAUAUGGACGAUGUCCUCAUGUGUGCCCCCGACAGCAACAUACUUGCGUGUGCCUUAGAGGACACUAUUACAACCUUAUCGGUGGCAGGAUUUGAGUUACAAAAAGAGAAGGUGCAACACCUACCGCCUUGGAAGUAUCUGGGCCUUGAAAUUAACAACUGAACCAUUUCGCCCCAGAGUCUUAAUAAAUGACAACCCCAAGACCCUAAGAGAUCUACAUCAAUUGUGUGGGUCUUUAAACAGGAUCAGGCCCUGGCUGGGGCUCACCAUGGGAGAUCUGUCCCCUCUCUUCAAUUUGUUAAAAGGGGGAGAGGGGCUGGACUCCCCGAGGGUCCUGACCCAGGAGGCCAGGACAGCGCUCGAGAAGGUUCAGUCCACCAUCAUGACGCAGCAGCCCCAUCGAUGCCGAGAAAACCUCCGUUUCCAAUUCAUCAUUCUGGGUAAGUUGCCACGCCUCCACGGGCUGAUAUUCCAGUGGGACACUGACCAACAGGAUCCCCUCUCAAUAAUAGAGUGGGUAUUCCUUGGUCACCAACUGUCCAAAAGUAUCACCAGGCCAGAGGAGUUGAUGGCCCAGUUGAUCAUGCGAGCUAGAGCACACCUGCGUCUGCUAGCGGGGCGCGAUUUCACAUGCAUUCACCUCCCCAUUAAAACAUCUACAGGGAAGAUGACCAAAGAGACCAUAGAACACUUACUUAGAGAAAAUGAGAGCCUGCAAUUUGCUUUAGACAGCUACACGGGACAAAUUCUUGUCAACCAUCCUGGCCACAGAUUAUUCAGUACUGAAUUUAAUUUGAUUCCAAAAGACAUUCAAAGUCGCCACCCCCUCAAAGCGCUGACAGUUUUUACUGACGCAUCUGGAGAUCUCACAAGUUGGUAGUGACUUGGAAGGAUCCUCAAACUCAGCAGUGGGAAGCCAAUGUAAAGACUGUGGAGGGCUCUCCACAGAUUGCUGAGUUAGAUGCAGUCGUCAGGGCGUUUGAGAAAUUUUUGGAACACUUUAAUUUAAUUACCGAUUUGGCCUAUGUCGUGGGUGUAGUGUCCCGAGCAGAGCAUGCAGUGCCCAAAGAAGUCUCUAACCCCACUCUAUUUGGCUUGCUCUCGCGACUAACAUACCCAGUUUCCCACCGAGAGCAACCCUUCUUUGUGAUGCAUGUGAGGUCGCACACCGACCUUCCGGGACUCAUUGCGGAGGGGAAUAGCAGGGCAGAUGCCCUAGCCGUGCCUCUACAACUGGCUGGCCAACCCAACAUCUUUCAGCAGGCCAAACUGAGCCACCACCAGUUUCAUCAAAAUGCCCCGGGGCUGGUCCGCCAGUUCCAUCUGCGGCGUGACCAAGCCAGGGCAAUUGUGGCCACAUGCCCUACCUGCCAGGAGUCUGCCCUACCAUCACUCACUUCUGGGGUAAACCCCAGGGGACUCGCAGUUGUGAGGUGUGGCAAAUGGAUGUCACCCACGUGCCCAAAUUUGGGAGGUUCAAGUAUGUUCACGUUUCCGUAGACAUCUUCUCAGGAGCUGUCUUCGCUUCGGCCCACACAGGAGAGAAGCAGCAGAUGCCCCAAACCAUUUGAUCCAUGCUUUGCUGCCCUAGGGAUUCCAUCUGUAAUUAAAACUGACAACGGCCCGGCCUAUACUUCUAAGGCAUUUGGUGAAUUUUUACAAAAUUGGGGGAUACAACAUCGGACAGGGAUACCACACUCCCCCACUGGUCAGGCUGUAAUAGAAAGGACGCAGCAGACAUUAAAGCGAGUCCUCGCCUGCCAGCGGGGGGAUAUCCAGGUUCAGACCCCACAUCUCUGGCUCUGCAAAGCUCUUUUUACCAUCAGUUUUCUCAAUUGUUCCUUUGACAGGCUGGAGCUGCCAGUCCUACGGCAUUUCCAACAACACUCGUGACUUGAGGCCAAGGAAAAGCCAGAGGUUCUCAUCAGGGAUCCGGACUCUGGAGAGAUUCAGGGUCCGGUCCAUCUCAUCACCUGGGGGCGUGGAUAUACUUGCGUGUCCACUCCCUCAGGGGUCAGAUGGAUCCCAAGAAAAUGGGUAAAACCGUAUAUAUCACCACCUAAGACUGGCACACCACAACUCACAGUCCCCAGCAGCCAAGAAAAUCCACAGGAUGGCACAUUCGCUCAGAACUGGAGGUGCCGCAGAUAAAGAGGAGACCCAAUGUCACCCUCCUGAAUUGUGUUCCCUUCAGAGAUUCUAAAUUAUUCCCUAUACUUAUACAGUGUUCUGUUUUCCUUUACUUUAGGCAUCCAUCAUGAUUGUUGUCAUCCUCCUUGUCAUCUGGCAGCUCCGUCUUAAGGCCUU